rnacentral:misc_RNA from 1 species
CUUCGUUCCAUGAGCCGACGCGCCCCCGACCACAGCGGAUACCUUCAGGGUGAGCACAUUAUGGUAUCGGAGCAUAUCCUCCAGAAACACGCAUCCGACUUCUGGCUUGCCCGCGGCGCAAUUGCGUUUAUAGCGGGGUUACAGCUUCUGAUCGUCAACGAUCUGACGUGGGGGCCACGUUGGCUUGCUCCCACGGUCGAAGUGGCGAUGCUUGUGCCACUAUCAAUCGCGACGGCCUGGACCAUCGAA